rnacentral:rRNA from 1 species
AUACGGAGGGGGCGAGCGUUGUCCGGAAUGAUUGGGCGUAAAGGGCGCGUAGGCGGCCCGGUAAGUCUGGAGUGAAAGUCCUGUUUUUAAGAUGGGAAUUGCUUUGGAUACUGUCGGGCUUGAGUGCAGGAGAGGUAAGUGGAAUUCCCAGUGUAGCGGUGAAAUGCGUAGAGAUUGGGAGGAACACCAGUGGCGAAGGCGACUUACUGGACUGUAACUGACGCUGAGGCGCGAAAGUGUGGGGAGCAAACAGGAUUAGAUACCCUGGUAGUCCACACUGUAAACGAUGAAUGCUAGGUGUAGGGGGUAUCGACCCCUUCUGUGCCGCAGUCAACACAAUAAGCAUUCCGCCUGGGGAGUACGGCCGCAAGGUUGAAACUCAAAUGAAUUGACGGGG